rnacentral:rRNA from 1 species
UACGUAGGGGGCGAGCGUCGUCCGGAUUCAUUGGGCGUAAAGCGCGCGUAGGCGGCUCCGCAAGUCGGCCGUGAAAUCUCCGGGCUCAACUCGGAGGGGUCGGGCGAGACUGCGAGGCUCGAGGUGGGCAGAGGGCAGUGGAAUUCCGGGUGUAGUGGUGGAAUGCGUAGAGAUCCGGAGGAACACCGAUGGCGAAGGCAGGUCUCUGGGCAUUAACUGACGCUGAGGAGCGAAAGCAUGGGGAGCGAACAGG